AGAUCGGAAAGGCUUCAGUCUUGUACAGCAUUCCCAUCUGUUGCUAUCCUCUCGCAACCUUCUAAUUACGUUAAGGUUGCAAGGGCGCCUGCAGAGCGACGGGGGCGGGGGCGACCGUGGACAUGGAGAGGUUACAAUGAGAGGUAAUUGUCAUAAUCCACCAUGGAAUCCCGCCAUCUCACAAGACAAAGGAGACUUAUGAAUAUUUAAAUUGCAAUUUUCUUCUUUUUUUCAAUUGACCCCCCUUUUUUUUCCGGUCGUAAAAUUGGAGCACAAGUAGAAAAUGAGUGGUGAAAAAAGUCAGUGCAGAAUUGUUUUUUUUUUAAUGAGAGACUCACUCAGUUCUUUUUUUUUUUUUUUUUGACCCUGAGCUACAUUUGCAUGUAGUUUCACCACAGAUUUUAGUAUGCUUGUCUUAAUCCCCUUCUCGGCUACGCCCGACACUAAUGGCCACGAGCUGUAAUUAGUGCUUGGUGAAGAAGAUACCCCAUCAUUAAUAAAUGAGCAAAUUAGCUCAUUUCAAUCUGGGAUUAAAUCUUCAUUUAUUGACUGGGAACAUUACACACACUCCGUUUUCCGAAAUGCUUAAUCCGGUGGAUUCUUCAUCUGAAGGAGCCAUUUAUUAUAUCAACGUGUUUUGGCGACGACGUUUGGAGGUGCGGAAUUGUCCUUCCUUGUUCUCGAGUUGGGCGGCCCGGUAGACAAGUGGUUAGCACGUCGGCUUCACAGUGCAGAGGUACGGGGUUCGAUUCCGGCUCCGGCCUCCCUGUGUGGAGUUUGCAUGUUCUCCCCGGGCCUGCGUGGGUUUUCUCCGGGUGCUCCGGUUUCCUCCCACAUUCCCAAAAAAACAUGCAUGGCAGGCUGAUUGAACACUCUAAA